GUACCGAUGAAGAGUCCCAAACUAGGACAAAACAAUUGUCCAGUAC
rnacentral:hammerhead_ribozyme from 1 species